CAAUCCGUAAGCUUUCACAAGAAUGCAGAUAUUUUUACAUUUAUUUAUUUAUUUUAUUUGGGGAUAUCUAUUAACAAAUCUUAAGAGGGAAGCUAAAUUUCCUUUCCUUUUUUCCCUGCUAAGUGUCGUCCCCUACCCCUUACCCAUCAAACCUCCGUUUUUUUUCACAAGCUUCAGAGAGAUUAUUAAACCAUAUCAAAACUCAAUCAAGAACAUAUCAGGGUAAGAACUCUGGAACCAAGCUUCUUUGUUACAGAAAUUGGAAGAUUCUUCAACUUAUUAUUUCUUCUUCUUUUUCUUCGAAAAUUUGAGUUGUUGAAGGAAGAUUAUUCUAGCCUUGUACUAUAUCGAUUCUUAUAUGUUCUUGAGGUAAAUAUUCACUAGAAUCUAGUGAUAGGAUGAUAGGAAUCGAAGUUCUAUCCCAAAGCCCCAAUUUUCAGCCUCUUUCAUGAACCCUAGAAUCUAUUCCCUUUAUAUUAGCAUUAAUUGACUAUGUAUAAAUGUUUAUAUGUAUGCGAAGAUAUUAUUGAGAGUUAUUUGGGUAUUUACGCAAAAGAAAUCAUGAUUUCCCAAUAAGUUUAGUUUAGGUGGAUUGGUGGAUUUGGGAAUUUUUGUUAUAGGAUAGCUACUUGCUUGAUGCUUGUGUGAUUGUACUUUUGGGGAUUGUGAAGUGAGAUUAUAUGAUAGAAAUUGGGGGACGUCAAGCAUGUUAUUAUAUGUUGGUGUGUUAAACCAUUCUAGUAUGUAUUAAGAUGAUGUAAUUGAGUUUCUACAACCUUAUUUGGCAGAGAUAUGAGAUAUAUUAAGUUGCAACAGAAAAUGUGUUGCUGUCAGGUUUUGCUGGACGAACCAGUGUCUUGUGAGGGGUUUUCGGGAGUGUUCCUUUGGUCCAAAUGACUUAAAAUUUUUACAGUGAUAACUUCAUUAUGAGUAUUAUAUCUCUGCAAAAUUUCAACUGAAUCCGAGACCUCUAGAUAGGUCAAACAAUUUUCUGAAAAGUACUGCGCUAAGCAGCGAGGUUCUGUGGCAGAUUCUGCCUUUUGUGAAUUGUGAGAUAAUUUCUUAUACAUUUGAGAUAUUGUGUUUUUAUAAAUUCCCGAUAAAUAUAGACUUUAGUAGAUUUCUAAAAAUGUAAAGCUUAUAUUUUUCUUUGAAGAGGUUGAUUUUAUAUGAUUUUUCAAAGUUGAGAUUCAUUUAUGAAGACAUGUUUGAGAUUUCUUACUUGGGAUAGUUAUAAAUAGAACCAUGCUAAGUGAUUGGUGUUUUAGUCAUUAAUUGUUAGCUAAUCUAUAGAGAAUAGAUUAGUUUACUCUUGAGCAAUUUGAAAUGUUACCAUUUGCUUUUAGUUAGUUAAGUUCAUAAAAGCAGACGAUCUAAACUAGAGGAUGCAACUCUAAAGUUUCAAGUGAUAGAAGUUUCAACUAGGAAUUAUUUUUAUUUAUUUCUUGUCUAUCUAUCAAAUCUUACCUGGGAACCUCAUUAUAAUGAAGGUUCGAGUGGCAGUGUAGAAUGAACAAGCAAAAACUUCUACUUCAUUAAGUAUAUCAGGUGGGCUUACUAACUCAAGAAGUAAAGAUGCAUACUUUAUUAUAUAAAGUUUGAGUGUAUGCAAUUAUUUUCCAAUUAUUGACUUGCCAAUAUUUGAGAUUUAUACGAUACCAUCUACAUAGAAGAACGAAUUCGGGUCCUGAGCGAGUCAGGAUUUGUGUACACAGAGUUGACAGUUAACCUUUGAGUUAGCUUGUCAUCGUGUUUGAGAAGGAGGCCUACUUCUCAACACUCAGAGUUAUAUGAUGCGUAGAUAUGGUACAUACAUGUUAAUUGUCUGCAGACGUAUAUGAUGUUAUGAUGAUUAUAGAGAAGUUUUACAGUUUUGGCGUGCACAGGUUAUUUAUAUAAAACUCAUGUGUGAUGCUUGAGAUGGCAAGUUCAAUAUAUAGCUCUAAGAGCAAGCUUUAAAGUUAUUUCGGCAUGACCACUGAGUGCUUUUUGGUACUCAGCCCUGCAUAUGUUUCUAAAUAUGCAGGUUAAACUGUGAUGCAGAUGGAAGCAAGCCGAGCAAAGCCUUCGGUGUAUAUAUAUUAAAUUAGGCUCAGGAUUCCAUGUCUUCAUACAUGUAAUCCACAUGAGUUAUUUCGCUGCAACACUUAGUAUAUUCUACUUUAUUGAUGUGUUGUACAAAUUUUAAAUCAAUAGCUUUGAGAAUUAUGUCACUUGAAACUUGGACAACUUGUCGUUGUGUUAUUGUAAAUUAUCUACUCGUGAGUUUUAAAAGUGAUUGUAUAUGAUUACCAGACAUUAUGGUAAAGUAUUGCUUAAGCAGGAUAAUUAUUUUUAUUGAAACUUCUUUUA
rnacentral:lncRNA from 1 species